GACGAACGCUGGCGGCGUGCUUAACACAUGCAAGUCGAACGGAAAGGCCCUGCUUUUGUGGGGUGCUCGAGUGGCGAACGGGUGAGUAACACGUGAGUAACCUGCCCUUGACUUUGGGAUAACUUCAGGAAACUGGGGCUAAUACCGGAUAGGAGCUCCUGCUGCAUGGUGGGGGUUGGAAAGUUUCGGCGGUUGGGGAUGGACUCGCGGCUUGUCAGCUUGUUGGUGGGGUAGUGGCUUACCAAGGCUUUGACGGGUGGCCGGCCUGAGAGGGUGACCGGCCACAUUGGGACUGAGAUACGGCCCAGACUCCUACGGGAGGCAGCAGUGGGGAAUAUUGCACAAUGGGCGGAAGCCUGAUGCAGCAACGCCGCGUGCGGGAUGACGGCCUUCGGGUUGUAAACCGCUUUCGCCUGUGACGAAGCGUGAGUGACGGUAAUGGGUAAAGAAGCACCGGCUAACUACGUG
rnacentral:rRNA from 1 species